ACGUACACUCCUGCGGGAGGCAGCAGUGGGGAAUUUUGGACAAUGGGCGAAAGCCUGAUCCAGCCAUGCCGCGUGCAGGAUGAAGGCCUUCGGGUUGUAAACUGCUUUUGUACGGAACGAAACGGCCUUUUCUAAUAAAGAGGGCUAAUGACGGUACCGUAAGAAUAAGCACCGGCUAACUACGUGCCAGCAGCCGCGGUAAUACGUAGGGUGCAAGCGUUAAUCGGAAUUACUGGGCGUAAAGCGUGCGCAGGCGGUUAUGUAAGACAAUUGUGAAAUCCCCGGGCUCAACCUGGGAACUGCAUCUGUGACUGCAUAGCUAGAGUACGGUAGAGGGGGAUGGAAUUCCGCGUGUAGCAGUGAAAGGCGUAGAUAUGCGGAGGAACACCGAUGGCGAAGGCAAUCCCCUGGACCUGUACUGACGCUCAUGCACGAAAGCGUGGGGAGCAAACAGGAUUAGAUACCCCGGUAGUCCCAUGA
rnacentral:rRNA from 1 species